rnacentral:lncRNA from 1 species
AUGCUGCCGAAGUUCUACCCCAAUGAGAUCAAAGUCACAUACCUAAGGUGUACUGGGGAUGAAGUGGGUGCCACGUCUGUGUUGGCCCCCAAGAUCAGCCCCCUAGGUCUGUCUUCAGAAAAGGUUGGUGAUGACAUUGCUAAAGCAACUGGUGACUGAAAGGAUCUGAGGAUUACAGUGAAACUGAUCAUUUAGAACAGAGAGGCCCAGAUUGAGGUGGUGACUUCUGCCUCUGCCCUGAUCAUCAAAGCCCUCAAGGAACCGCCAAGAGACAGAAAGAAACAGAAAAACAUUAAACACAGUGGAAAUAUCACUUUUGAUGAGAUUGUCAAUGUUGCUCAACACAUGUGGCACCGAUCUUUAGCCAGAGAACUCUCUGGAAUCAUUAAAGAGAUCCUGGGGACUCCCCAGUCUGUGGGCUGCAAUGUUGAUGGCUGCCACCCUCAUGAUAUCAUAGAUGACAUCAACGGUGGUGCUGUGGAAUGCCCAGCUAAUUAA